rnacentral:rRNA from 1 species
UACGUAGGUGGCAAGCGUUGUCCGGAAUUAUUGGGCGUAAAGCGCGCGCAGGCGGUCCUUUAAGUCUGAUGUGAAAGCCCACGGCUCAACCGUGGAGGGUCAUUGGAAACUGGGGGACUUGAGUGCAGAAGAGGAAAGCGGAAUUCCACGUGUAGCGGUGAAAUGCGUAGAGAUGUGGAGGAACACCAGUGGCGAAGGCGGCUUUCUGGUCUGUAACUGACGCUGAUGCACGAAAGCUAGGGGAGCAAACAGG